rnacentral:rRNA from 1 species
UAGGGAAUAUUGCGCAAUGGGCGAAAGCCUGACGCAGCGACACCGUGUGUAGGAUGAAGAUCUUCGGAUUGUAAACUACUGUCAGUUGAAGACGAAGGCAGUAGAGUUAAGAGCUCGAAUGCUGACGGUAUUCAAUUAGGAAGUCUCGGCUAACUCCGUGCCAGCAGCCGCGGUAAGACGGAGGAGGCAAGCAUUGUCCGGAAUUAUUGGGCGUAAAGAACACGUAGGCGGUUUGCCAAGUCAUAUGUGAAAACCUUGGGCUUAACUUAAGGAUUGCAUAUGAUACUGGUAAACUAGAGUAUAGUAGAGGAAAGUGGAAUUCCUGGUGUAGCGGUGAAAUGCGCAGAUAUCAGGAAGAACACCAGUGGCGAAAGCGGCUUUCUGGACUGUUACUGACGCUGAGGUGUGAAAGCUAGGGGAGCGAACA